UACUGCGUGGCGCAACGGUAGCGCGUCUGACUCCAGAUCAGAAGGUUGCGUGUUCAAAUCGCGUUGUGGUCA
rnacentral:tRNA from 1 species